rnacentral:rRNA from 1 species
GAUGAACGCUGGCGGCGUGCUUAACACAUGCAAGUCGAACGGAAAGGCCCAAGCUUGCUUGGGUACUCGAGUGGCGAACGGGUGAGUAACACGUGGGUGAUCUGCCCUGCACUUCGGGAUAAGCCUGGGAAACUGGGUCUAAUACUGGAUAGGACCACUUCUUGGAUGUUGUGGUGGAAAGUUUUUUCGGUGUGGGAUGAGCUCGCGGCCUAUCAGCUUGUUGGUGGGGUAAUGGCCUACCAAGGCGUCGACGGGUAGCCGGCCUGAGAGGGUGUACGGCCACAUUGGGACUGAGAUACGGCCCAGACUCCUACGGGAGGCAGCAGUGGGGAAUAUUGCACAAUGGGCGCAAGCCUGAUGCAGCGACGCCGCGUGGGGGAUGACGGCCUUCGGGUUGGAAACUCCGUUCGCUAGGGACGAAGCGUUUUGUGACGGUACCUGGAGAAGAAGCACCGGCUAACUACGUG